rnacentral:rRNA from 1 species
UCGGGAAUAUUGCGCAAUGGAGGAAACUCUGACGCAGUGACGCCGCGUAUGGGAAGAAGGUUUUCGGAUUGUAAACCAUUUUAGACAAGGAAGAAAAAAGACAGUACUUGUAGAAUAAGCUCCGGCUAACUACGUGCCAGCAGCCGCGGUAAUACGUAGGGAGCAAGCGUUAUCCGGAUUUAUUGGGUGUAAAGGGUGCGUAGACGGGAAGGUAAGUUAGUUGUGAAAUCCCUCGGCUCAACUGAGGAACUGCGACUAAACUGUUUUUCUUGAGUACUGGAGAGGAAAGUGGAAUUCCUAGUGUAGCGGUGAAAUGCGUAGAUAUUAGGAGGAACACCAGUGGCGAAGGCGACUUUCUGGACAGUAACUGACGUUGAGGCACGAAAGUGUGGGGAGCAAACAGGAUUAGAUACC